rnacentral:rRNA from 1 species
UACGUAGGGUGCGAGCGUUAAUCGGAAUGACUGGGCGUAAAGGGUGCGCAGGCGGUUGGUCAAGACGGAUGUGAAAGCCCCGGGCUUAACCUGGGAGUGUCAUUCGUGACUGACGAACUAGAAUAUGGCAGAGGGAGGCGGAAUUCCACAUGUAGCAGUGAAAUGCGUAGAGAUGUGGAGGAACACCGAUGGCGAAGGCGGCAUCCUGGACCAUGACUGACGCUGAGGAGCGAAAGCCAGGGGAGCAAACGGG